GACGAACCGUGCGAACGUUAUUCGGAAUCACUGGGCUUAAAGCGCGUGUAGGCGGGCCGGCACGUCGAGCGCUGAAAUCCCCCGGCUCAACCGGGGAACGGGCCUCGAUACGAACGGCCUGGAGCGAGGUAGGGGGCGCCGGAACUCACGGUGGAGCGGUGAAAUGCGUUGAGAUCGUGAGGAACGCCCGUGGCGAAAGCGGGCGCCUGGACCUCCGCUGACGCUGAGACGCGAAAGCCAGGGGAGCGAACGGG
rnacentral:rRNA from 1 species